CUGAGUAUCACAUCAACCAAUCAGAUGAAGACUUGACUGACGGAGAGGACCUCUAUGACUUCCCACUGUCCAAUAGGAGGGCAAGUGACCGCCAAGAUUAUAGGGAGAUGACAGAGAGCAUCUAUGACGUCCCCAGUUCCCUAAUGAGGAAAAUGUCUGAACACACACUUGCAGAGCCUUACCCUGGAGGUGAGAUACUGGUGGAGGACAGGGGCCUCCUGGAUGACAUGAUGGCCAGUCUGGGUGGAGGGACGGUGGGCUGGAUAACAGGUGCUUCUACUGUGGAGCCCUACGGGCUGGCUCAUCAUGGCUCUUAGGACUGGUAUAUAGUAUAGACUCUGGAUAAUAUAGACUGAAUGAGUUUUCCUCAUUCAAAUUGUUCUAUAAAGCUUGACGCAUUCUGUUAGAGAUUUAAAUACGUUUACAUUUUAUGAAAAAAAAAUCUCCUUUGUCAUGAUAUUCUAUUCUAUUGACUUCUCUUUUAAUACAAUCUACUGUCAAGGAAAUACCAUAUUAAAUAACUAACUUCAUACUGUCAAAGUGUUCCACUUAGUAUAUAAUGUCAGGAGAGAGGUACUAUAGUAUUCAGGCAGACCCUAUCCUUCUUUUUUAGGAGGUAGAUCAGCUUUAAUACUGCAGAUACAUUGUGGCUUCUAUCAAUGUAAUUGUCUGCAUCAUUUCCAAUCACACGUGUAUAUUUUUUGUAAAUAUAUAGAGUAUAUAUUAUUUUAAAUAUAUAUACAUUUUAAAUAUAUUUAUCUUCUUUAUUAUUUUCCCCUAACCCUACCACCCCUCCCUUAAUUGGAGUAAACAAAUGAAAUAGAUUUGACUUCUUUAUUAAUUUCCCCUAACCCAACAAUACUUAGGCUUCCACUUCCAGGUUAUACAUACUACAUACAUUUAAUGGAAAAUAUAUUUGACAUUAGUUAUCUUCUGUUAGUUUUUAGUCCCAGCCUUCAGCUACCAUCAACACCUCCCAUCUACAGUGAGGGGGGGAAAGUAUUUGAUCCCUGCUGAUUUUCUACGUUUGCCCACUGACAAAGAAAUGAU